rnacentral:rRNA from 1 species
UGGGGGAUAUUGCACAAUGGGCGAAAGCCUGAUGCAGCGACGCCGCGUGGGGGAUGAAGGCCUUCGGGUUGUAAACUUCUUUUGCUCUGAACAAGGCAUGCCUUUGGGGUGUGUUGAGUGUAGGGGUUGAUUAGCGCCGGCUAACUACGUGCCAGCAGCCGCGGUAAUACGUAGGGCGCGAGCGUUGUCCGGAAUUAUUGGGCGUAAAGGGCUUGUAGGUGGCUGGUUGCGUCUGUCGUGAAAGCUCAUGGCUUAACUGUGGGUUUGCGGUGGGUACGGGCUGGCUUGAGUGCAGUAGGGGAGGCUGGAAUUCCUGGUGUGGCGGUGGAAUGCGCAGAUAUCAGGAGGAAUACCGGUGGCGAAGGCGGGUCUCUGGGCUGUUACUGACGCUGAGGAGCGAAAGCGUGGGGAGCGAACAGG